UGUGAAUUUCAUUCCACUCUUGGCAGAGAAAUUUGGAAUCUGUGGAAUUCUUGAUCAGAGGAAGAGCAGUUUCUCAGCAGUAAGUGGAGGGAUCAGGGGAAGAGAUGCUGGAGCCGUAAAGCAAUGCUGGGGUAUUAUGAACAGAACUACUGAAUCAGAAAUACUGGAAGGUGAGAUCCAGCAAUCUGUGUUUUAAUAAUCUGCCAGCUGAUUUAACACUCAGAUUUCAUCCUUCAACCAAUAAUUAUUGUAUGUCCCUAGUGUGGUGCAGGGAUACAACAGUGAACAAGCCAGUUCUUGCUCUUAAGGAACUGAGAGCCAAGGAGAGGAGAGAGACAAGCAAAAGAUACCUAUAAUACAGCAUCGUGAAUUGCUACUAAUGAAUUGAAACAGCUUGAUAAGAGAGGCCCAAAAGGAUCUUCUGACCUGGAGGAUGUGAAAAAGCUUCUUGGAAAGAGUGAGAUUUAAAGAACAGAGCUUUAGAGAAGCUGUGGAUGUGGGGUGGGGGAGGAUGAAAUGUGAUAGCCCAAUACAAAUCUUCC